rnacentral:rRNA from 1 species
GACGAACGCUGGCGGCGUGCCUAAUACAUGCAAGUCGAGCGAAGUUUUUCUGGUGCUUGCACUAGAAAAACUUAGCGGCGAACGGGUGAGUAACACGUAAAGAACCUGCCUCAUAGACUGGGACAACUAUUGGAAACGAUAGCUAAUACCGGAUAACAGUAUUUCUCGCAUGAGAGAUAUUUAAAAGUUGGUUAUGCUAACACUAUGAGAUGGCUUUGCGGUGCAUUAGCUAGUUGGUGGGGUAAAGGCCCACCAAGGCGACGAUGCAUAUCCGACCUGAGAGGGUGAUCGGCCACACUGGGACUGAGACACGGCCCAGACUCCUACGGGAGGCAGCAGUAGGGAAUCUUCCGCAAUGGGCGAAAGCCUGACGGAGCAACGCCGCGUGAGUGAAGAAGGAUUUCGGUUCGUAAAGCUCUGUUGUUAGGGAAGAAUGGAUAUGUAGUAACUAUACAUGUAAGAGACGGUACCUAACCAGAAAGCCACGGCUAACUACGUG